rnacentral:sRNA from 1 species
AUAUACCAUUCGCACAUUGCGGUUGCUCCGCGCCGUCCGCACCCACCUGGCGAAUGCUCGCUACGUGUGGUUGGCC